rnacentral:rRNA from 1 species
CCUACGGGAUGCAGCAGUGGGGGAUAUUGCACAAUGGGGGGAACCCUGAUGCAGCGACGCCGCGUGGGUGAAGGAGCGUUUCGGCGCGUAAAGCCCUAUCGGCAGGGAAGAAGAUGACGGUACCUGACCAAGAAGCCCCGGCUAACUCCGUGCCAGCAGCCGCGGGCAUACGUAGGGGGCAAGCGUUAUCCGGAUUUACUGGGUGUAAGGGGGGCGCAGACGGCAAUGCAAGCCAGGAGUGAAAGCCCGGGGCCCAACCCCGGGACUGCUCUUGGAACUGCAUGGCGGGAGUACAGGAGGGGCAGGCAGAAUUCCUAGUGUAGCGGUGAAAUGCGUAGAUAUUAGGAGGAACACCGGUGGCGAAGGCGGCCUGCUGGACUGUGACUGACGUUGAGGCCCGAAGGCGUGGGGAGCAAACAGGAUUAGAUACCCUGGUAGUC